AGGACGAACGCUGGCGGCGUGCUUAACACAUGCAAGUGGAGCGACGAACCAGGGCUUGCCCUGGGGCAGAGCCGCGAACGGGUGAGUAACACGUGGGUUACCUGCCUCGAUGACCGGGACAACCCGAGGAAACUCGGGCUAAUACCGGAUGUGCCCGCAAGGGGAAAGGAAGCUUCGGCCUCCGCAUCGAGAUGGGCCCGCGGCCCAUUAGCUUGUUGGUGAGGUAACGGCUCACCAAGGCUUCGAUGGGUAGCUGGUCUGAGAGGACGAUCAGCCACACUGGGACUGAGACACGGCCCAGACUCCUACGGGAGGCAGCAGUGGGGAAUCUUGCGCAAUGCGCGAAAGCGUGACGCAGCAACGCCGCGUGGGGGAAGAAGGCUUUCGGGUUGUAAACCCCUUUCAGUUGGGACGAAGCUUCGGCGGUGAAUAGCCGACCGGAGUGACGGUACCUUCACAAGAAGCACCGGCUAACUACGCGCCAGCAGCCGCGGU
rnacentral:rRNA from 1 species